ACUAGUGAAAGAUAACUCUCAGUUCAAACGGCUUCUUCCGGAACUUGUGCCCCACCGUUUUCCAAGUGUUUUUAAAAUUCAAACAGCUUCAUUUGUUCUUAGAAGCAGUCCAUACUACGAAACUACAACGUGUAUUCUGGUUACUUUUCUACUAAACUUUGGAAACCCUCAGGGAACUUGAAACGAUUCGGUUACUAGGUGUUUUACAACAGCGUUGUGCACCUUGCCUGAGUAGCUGGCUCACCCCCUUUGAUCAUUGCGGUCUGCGACGAGUGGAUGAAGUUCCCAUCUGGCAGACAACCAGCUCGUGUGUGCAUGGAUGGUUGACCAUUCUUCGCUUUGAAGAAGGUUAAGAUGGCACCUUUCCCCCACCAAGGCACAUCGGUUAUGUUACUACUCUCUAGUAUCACGUGCUGUGCCUGCACUGUGUUCCCUGGCGGUGGACCCAUCGAAGAAUACUAUGAGCGUGGUGCAGAUGUACUCAAUGGGCCAACGUGUAAAGUCAGCCGCGGCCAAGCUUUUCUGGACAUAACAAAUGAAGGUUCAAGAGGAUCUUGCCCUCGACGAGUUCAGUAUAGAAGGGCAGGUCUGUCUGUCUUCCAGAGACUCCUGUUCUUCAAUGCGGACUACGAAAUUAUCCAGCUGAGACUUCUCAACUACUCCGGUGUUCAUAGUUCGUACUCGUGUGGUGAUGAUCGAAGGCCUUUCUCCCGAAGAAAUAAAUACUCUAUUCGCCUCGGCAAGCCAAUUGUUGGUAUGAAUACUUACCUUCGAGGAAAGAGAGGACUGGAUUAUCAGCCCCAUGUGCCACAUGUUUACGAUGAAGGCUCGGUCAUUCCUCCUGUGAUCUGUGCACCAAGGCAUGGAGCUCCAAGAAGGAACUCUACUACA